UUACGGCCACAUCACGUUGAAACAUCGGUUCCCGUACGAUCACCGAAGUUAAGCCAUGUCGAACCUGGUCAGUAUCUAAAUGGGUGACCGAUUGGGGAUAUCAACUGCUG
rnacentral:rRNA from 1 species